CCUACGGGGUGCAGCAGUGGGGAAUAUUGCACAAUGGGGGAAACCCUGAUGCAGCGACGCCGCGUGAGUGAAGAAGUAUUUCGGUACGUAAAGCUCUAUCAGCAGGGAAGAAAAUGACGGUACCUGACUAAGAAGCCCCGGCUAACUACGUGCCAGCAGCCGCGGUAAUACGUAGGGGGCAAGCGUUAUCCGGAUUUACUGGGUGUAAAGGGAGCGUAGACGGCAGCGCAAGUCUGGAGUGAAAUCCCAUGGCUUAACCAUGGAACUGCUUUGGAAACUGUGCAGCUAGAGUGCAGGAGAGGUAAGCGGAAUGCCUAGUGUAGCGGUGAAAUGCGUAGAUAUUAGGAGGAACACCAGUGGCGAAGGCGGCUUACUGGACUGUAACUGACGUUGAGGCUCGAAAGCGUGGGGAGCAAACAGGAUUAGAUACCCUUGUAGUC
rnacentral:rRNA from 1 species